AGCGACUGUGCAGGUUACCGCGGCUGCUGGCACGGAGUUAGCCGGUGCUUCUUCUGUGAGUGAUGUCCUUCCUGCCGGCUAUUAACCCGCAGGCCUUCUUCCUCACUGAAAGUGCUUUACAACCCGAAGGCCUUCUUCACACACGCGGCAUGGCUGGAUCAGGGUUGCCCCCAUUGUCCAAUAUUCCCCACUGCUGCCUCCCGUAGGAGUCUGGGCCGUGUCUCAGUCCCAGUGUGGCUGAUCAUCCUCUCAGACCAGCUACGGAUCGUCGCCUUGGUGAGCCGUUACCUCACCAACCAGCUAAUCCGACAUAGGCUCAUCCGAUAGCGCGAGGCCCGAAGGUCCCCCGCUUUCCCCCGUAGGGCGUAUGCGGUAUUAGCCUGGGUUUCCCCAGGUUAUCCCCCACUACCGGGCAGAUUCCUAUGCAUUACUCACCCGUCCGCCGCUCGCCACCAGGGAGCAAGCUCCCCGUGCUGCCGCUCGACUUGCAUGUGUUAGGCCUGCCGCCAGCGUUC
rnacentral:rRNA from 1 species